rnacentral:rRNA from 1 species
AGAGUUUGUUCCUGGCUCAGGAUGAACGCUGGCGGCGUGCUUAACACAUGCAAGUCGAACGGAAAGGCCGAAGCUUGCUUCGGUACUCGAGUGGCGAACGGGUGAGUAACACGUGGGUGAUCUGCCCUGCACUUUGGGAUAAGCCUGGGAAACUGGGUCUAAUACCAGAUAGGACCACGUCUUGGAUGGUGUGGUGGAAAGUUUUUUCGGUGUGGGAUGAGCUCGCGGCCUAUCAGCUUGUUGGUGGGGUAAUGGCCUACCAAGGCGUCGACGGGUAGCCGGCCUGAGAGGGUGUACGGCCACAUUGGGACUGAGAUACGGCCCAGACUCCUACGGGAGGCAGCAGUGGGGAAUAUUGCACAAUGGGCGCAAGCCUGAUGCAGCGACGCCGCGUGGGGGAUGACGGCCUUCGGGUUGUAAACUCCUUUCGCCAGGGACGAAGCGUCAGUGACGGUACCUGGAUAAGAAGCACCGGCUAACUACGUGCCAGCAGCCACGGUAAUACGUAGGGUGCGAGCGUUGUCCGGAAUUACUGGGCGUAAAGAGCUCGUAGGUGGUUUGUCGCGUCGUUUGUGUAAUACCGCAGCUUAACUGCGGGGUUGCAGGCGAUACGGGCAUAACUUGAGUGCUGUAGGGGAGACUGGAAUUCCUGGUGUAGCGGUGGAAUGCGCAGAUAUCAGGAGGAACACCGAUGGCGAAGGCAGGUCUCUGGGCAGUAACUGACGCUGAGGAGCGAAAGCAUGGGUAGCGAACAGGAUUAGAUACCCUGGUAGUCCAUGCCGUAAACGGUGGGCGCUAGGUGUGAGUCCCUUCCACGGGGUUCGUGCCGUAGCUAACGCAUUAAGCGCCCCGCCUGGGGAGUACGGCCGCAAGGCUAAAACUCAAAGGAAUUGACGGGGGCCCGCACAAGCGGCGGAGCAUGUGGAUUAAUUCGAUGCAACGCGAAGAACCUUACCUGGGCUUGACAUGCACCGGAUCGCUGCAGAGAUGUAGUUUCCCUUGUGGCUGGUGUACAGGUGGUGCAUGGUUGUCGUCAGCUCGUGUCGUGAGAUGUUGGGUUAAGUCCCGCAACGAGCGCAACCCUUGCCUUAUGUUGCCAGCAUUUGGUUGGGGACUCAUGAGAGACUGCCGGGGUCAACUCGGAGGAAGGUGGGGAUGACGUCAAAUCAUCAUGCCCCUUAUGUCCAGGGCUUCACACAUGCUACAAUGGUCGGUACAACGCGCAGCUACUUCGUGAGGAGGCGCUAAUCGCUGAAAGCCGGUCUUAGUUCGGAUUGGGGUCUGCAACUCGACCCCAUGAAGUCGGAGUCGCUAGUAAUCGUAGAUCAGCAACGCUGCGGUGAAUACGUUAAAGGGCCUUGUAC